GAUUAUUUUUAUUUGGUCAGUCAAACUUCUUUCUCUUCAAUCUCAUUGUGAUACGAGCUACUGGAGUUGGACUUUCCAAGAGGAACCCGCAUCACAGACGCUCGGGCGGUCAUGAGUUAUGUAGCCUGCACAACAUGAAGGCUGAUCUCAUGGAUCCUUUCAUUGGUGAGAUAGACUUAUAUGCCUGCAACUUAUUCUGGAAAUUUUGUGGUAUGUGAGGUUCCUUUGUUCAACACGACAGUUUGUUUGAUUUGUUGUUCCGCCGGUUGUUAUAAUGCUGUUACCAUACAUGGUGCUGCACUGGGCUCUCUGUGAAACAUCAGUUAGGAGAAGCUUGCUGCUUGCGGAAGUACUCACUUUGUGGUGCCCAGGAGACCUUUUUUUGGGGAUGAAUGACCAAUUAUUCUUUCUUGUAGGUGUCCAAUGUUGAUCUAAUUUUGCAUCGAAUACCAUUUUAUUAAAAGAUAGCUGCUGCUUAAAGUUUAGCCCA